GCCAUGUAUAAUCCCCUCCCCCCAGGUGUGAGCAGGACCAAUGGAAUAUGGCACAGUGAUGGGAUGUAUUUAUGUCCCAUAACUAUGUACGCACACUUGCUAGCAGACAUGUAGAGACUCUCUCCUGCUGGCUUUGAGGAAGUAAGAUGCUAUGUUGUGAGAGGACCUGCGACAGGGCCAAAUGGCAUCAACCAUGAGUGGCCUCCUGCUGACAGCCAGCAAGAAAGUGGGCACCUCAGUCCUACAACAAUAAGGAGAUGAAUUCUACCAGCAGCCCAAGUGAGCUUUCAAGUGAAUUUGUCCCUAGAAGAGAACACAGCCUAGUCACUACCUUGACUGUAGCCUUGUAAGACCCCGAGCAGAGGACCCGCUUAAGCUGUGCCAGGACUUCUGACCACUGAAAUUGUGAGAUCAUAGAGGUGCAUUGUUUUAAGCUGCAAAUGCAGUGAUGGAUAGCUAAUACAGCUUUCAUUUUCCUGUCUCCCCACAGGAAGCCCAAUAAAACUGGGGUGAUAUGGGGAGCCAGAGACUCUUCCCAAAGAAGCUGGAAGGAAGGAGCAUGGGUUCAACUCAAGCGUCUCAUCUGCUGUGAAGCCUUUUUGUGACUCCUCCCAGAGCGGCCAUGUUGCACAUCUCCAGGGUAUCACUCACGCUGGACUCUAAAGGCUGCCAAUCACAUGGAAAAUCAUGUACAUCAUCACCCUAGAGGUUGCAAUAGAGAGCACCAUAUGCCAUCCUAAUGUGGGAGUGUGGGAUUGCUCCUUCCAGCACCACCAACCUGAAGCCAGUCCUGAGAAUUUAUAUGUCCCAGUUACUACUGCUCUCCGAUCUGAGAGUAUGGCCAGGAAGAACUGGAAACAGAAGAACCUUCCAAUCCCACACGAUGCAGUGACAGUCAGAGAGACAGGUAGGGCUUGUAGAUAAAACAUUCCUG
rnacentral:lncRNA from 1 species